rnacentral:lncRNA from 1 species
UUCUGAUUUCUGACUUGAGCAUCGGAAGAUCUCCUUCAAAGCCAAUUUCGGCCAGGACUUACCUUGCAGGUCUUUCUUUCGGAAGGAUGCGCCACCGCUUCAGCCUCCAGCCUUUUCGAUCGAGUCUCAGAUUUUAGCAGCAACAGAUUGGCACUAGAGGAAGUGAUCCUGAUCCGAUUGCGAGAAGAAGCAAAAGAUCGAGACCAUGGCCCCACGCAGGAUGUCUUCCCAAUGAUCUAACGCCAUUGCUACCU